UGGGGAAUAUUGGACAAUGGGGGCAACCCUGAUCCAGCCAUGCCGCGUGCGUGAAGAAGGCCUUAGGGUUGUAAAGCGCUUUCACUGGUGAAGAUGAUGACGGUAGCCAGAGAAGAAGCCCCGGCUAACUCCGUGCCAGCAGCCGCGGUAAUACGGAGGGGGCGAGCGUUGUUCGGAAUUACUGGGCGUAAAGGGCGCGUAGGCGGAACGUCAAGUUAGGGGUGAAAGGCCUGGGCUCAACCUAGGAACGGCCUCUAAAACUGACGAUCUAGAGUCCGGAAGAGGAUGGCGGAAUUCCCAGUGUAGAGGUGAAAUUCGUAGAUAUUGGGAAGAACACCGGUGGCGAAGGCGGCCAUCUGGUCCGGUAUUGACGCUGAGGCGCGAAAGCCAGGGGAGCAA
rnacentral:rRNA from 1 species